rnacentral:rRNA from 1 species
GACGAACGCUGGCGGCGUGCCUAAUACAUGCAAGUCGAACGCAGUGGGGACGGGUGAGUAACACGUGGGUAACCUCCCAUCAGAGGGGAUAACACUUGGAAACAGGUGCUAAAACGAUACUGAUGGGUGGACACGCGGUGCAUUAGCUCGUUGGGGAGGUAACGGCUCACCAAGGCCACGAUGCAUAACCGACCUGAGAGGGGGAUCGGCAAAACUGGGACUGAGAAACGGCCCAGACGCCUACGGGAGGCAGCAUUAGGGAAGCUUCGGCAAGGGACGAAAGCCUGAACGAGCAACGCCGCGUGAGUGAAGAAGGUUUUCGGAUCGUAAAGCGCUUUUGUUAGAGAAGCGGUAUCUAACCAGAAAGCCACGGCUAACUACGUGCCAGCAGCCGCGGUAAUUC